rnacentral:tRNA from 1 species
UCCCUGGUGUUCUAAUGGGUUUGGAUUCAGUGCUCUCACUGCCGCGACGUAGGUUCGAUUCCCGUUCAGCGAA